rnacentral:rRNA from 1 species
AGUGAACGCCGGCGGUAGGCCUAACACAUGCAAGUCGAACGGCGGCACAGGAGAGCUUGCUCUCUGGGUGGCGAGUGGCGGACGGGUGAGGGAUACAUCGGAAUCUACUCUGUCGUGGGGGAUAACGUAGGGAAACUUACGCUAAUACCGCAUACGACCUACGGGUGAAAGCAGGGGAUCUUCGGACCUUGCGCGAUUGAAUGAGCCGAUGUCGGAUUAGCUAGUUGGCGGGGUAAAGGCCCACCAAGGCGACGAUCCGUAGCUGGUCUGAGAGGAUGAUCAGCCACACUGGAACUGAGACACGGUCCAGACUCCUACGGGAGGCAGCAGUGGGGAAUAUUGGACAAUGGGCGCAAGCCUGAUCCAGCCAUACCGCGUGGGUGAAGAAGGCCUUCGGGUUGUAAAGCCCUUUUGUUGGGAAAGAAAUCCAGCUGGCUAAUACCCGGUUGGGAUGACGGUACCCAAAGAAUAAGCACCGGCUAACUUCGUGCCAGCAGCCGCCGUAA